ACUAUAUCAUGAGUAAUAUAUUCAUUCGCUCCCGUAAAGCAUCGAAUUGUGUAUUUAAGACAACAUUCUUCUCUAUUACAAUUUACUAAACGAUACAUUCUCCUCUCAAAAUUUGCAUAGGUCGUAUCUGAACGAAUCGUGAUCAAUUUCUUUCGAUCACCGAAAUAUCGGAGACCAUUCCCAUCCAUAUCUAACUGUCCAUCCCAAUGAACACUAAGAGACAUCCGACGACUAGCCAUUUUAAUUACACAGAAAAAUAAAUCAACAACAUUCUCCAUGUUCUCAUCAGCGAAAGCUAAAUCUAAGUGAAAUGAUAA
rnacentral:lncRNA from 1 species